CCUACGGGAGGCAGCAGUAAGGAAUAUUGGUCAAUGGACGAAAGUCUGAACCAGCCAUGCCGCGUGAAGGAUGAAGGUCCUCUGGAUUGUAAACUUCUUUUAUCUGGGACGAAAAAAGGGCUUUCUAGCUCACUUGACGGUACCAGAGGAAUAAGCACCGGCUAACUCCGUGCCAGCAGCCGCGGUAAUACGGAGGGUGCAAGCGUUAUCCGGAUUUACUGGGUUUAAAGGGAGCGUAGGUGGGCAGGUAAGUCAGUGGUGAAAUCUCUGGGCUUAACCCGGAAACUGCCAUUGAUACUAUCUGUCUUGAAUAUCCUGGAGGUAAGCGGAAUAUGUCAUGUAGCGGUGAAAUGCUUAGAUAUGACAUAGAACACCCAUUGCGAAGGCAGCUUACUACGGGAUUAUUGACACUGAGGCUCGAAAGCGUGGGGAUCAAACAGGAUUAGAUACCCUGGUAGUCCACGCCCUAAACGAUGGAUACUCGACAUCAGCGAUACACUGUUGGUGUCUGAGCGAAAGCAUUAAGUAUCCCACCUGGAAGUACGACCGCAAGGUUGAAACUCAAAUGAAUUGACGG
rnacentral:rRNA from 1 species